rnacentral:lncRNA from 1 species
AGUUUAGCCAAGCGAAAAUGAGGAGGAGAGGCUUUGUCCCAGACAUUUUAGCCUGAGUCUCAAUGCCUCUUAUUGGCUCCAACAGAUCACAUGCCCAGCUCUGAGCCAAUCAACGUGGCCACAUCCAGGUCAGUUAUUACUGCCCCCGCCCCCUGCCGAGGAGACCGGCUGGAAACCCGGGGGCUGUUGGGUCUUUCCCCGGGAGAUGGGGAGAGAGGAUGCGGGGCAGCUGGCACCACGGCAAGCCGGCCCCUGUUCAGUUGCAUGAAAUCAAGACCCAGACACUGCAGAACUGAAGUGGGGAAGGACUGACCACCAGUUGGCAAGAGGCUGAAGAGGGUAAGAGUUAUAUAGCUCAGUAACAUCAGUAUUUUGGAAGUAGGAUAGGAAGAAAGUCUCAUCACAAGGGAGCCCCAUGGAGAGGAAUGAGCACAGAAUUUGGAGUCAGAAGAGUGGAAGGCCUGGGCUUGGGGCCUGGCUGCACCGUGCCAGCUGGAUGGUUCUGGGAAAGCUGCCCAACUCUCUGCUUCGCAAUCCCCACAUCUGUCACUAGGGAUCACAUCUGCCUCACCGGAUCAGCUGAGAUAAGGCACGUGUGUAAAAGGCUGUACAAAUGUUAGUUACUAUAAGAUUGUCUCAAAAAAAUAAAACCCACAGCAAAGAGUAUCCCAAGG